AUUAAUCAACUCAAGCAAAAUGGCGAAAACUCACUGAAUGCGAAGGAAACUCUCUCGAUCUCCAAAUGGGAGUUAGAGUCCUUCUAAUCCAACAUAAACAAAGGUUCUAAGCCCAUCAAUUGAGAUCAAAAAGCCUCAAAUCAAAAAUCCCCAUUACUAACCCUAAUAUGCUCAAUCUAGGGUUUCAACGCAAGAAAUCCUC
rnacentral:lncRNA from 1 species